GAUGAAGAACGUAGCGAAAUGCGAUAAGUAAUGUGAAUUGCAGAAUUCAGUGAAUCAUCGAAUCUUUGAACGCACCUUGCGCCCUUUGGCUAUUCCGAAGGGCAUGCCUGUUUGAGUAUCAUGAACACCUCAACUCUUCACGGCUUGCCGUGAUGAGUUUGGACUUUGGGGGUCUUGCUGGCCUACGAGCCAGCUCCUCUCAAAUGUAUUAGCUUGCCGGUGUUUGGUGGCAUCACAGGUGUGAUAACUAUCUACGCUUGUGGUUUUCCACUAGGUAACCUUCAGCAAUGGAGGUUCACCGGAGCUCACAAAUGUCUCUCCUUGCAAGGACAGAUUUUGACCAUUUGAUCUCAAAUCAGGUAGGACUACCCGCUGAACUUAAGCAUAUCAAUAAGCGGAGGA
rnacentral:misc_RNA from 1 species